rnacentral:rRNA from 1 species
GACGAACGCUGGCGGCGUGCCUAAUACAUGCAAGUCGAGCGGACGAAUCGAAAGCUUGCUUUUGAUUCGUUAGCGGCGGACGGGUGAGUAACACGUGGGCAACCUGCCCUGUAGACGGGGAUAACACCGAGAAAUCGGUGCUAAUACCGGAUAACACGAAAUGUCGCAUGACGUUUCGUUGAAAGACGGCGCAAGCUGCCGCUACAGGAUGGGCCCGCGGCGCAUUAGCUAGUUGGUGAGGUAACGGCUCACCAAGGCGACGAUACGUAGCCGACCUGAGAGGGUGAUCGGCCACACUGGGACUGAGACACGGCCCAGACUCCUACGGGAGGCAGCAGUAGGGAAUCUUCCGCAAUGGACGAAAGUCUGACGGAGCAACGCCGCGUGAGCGAAGAAGGCCUUCGGGUCGUAAAGCUCUGUUGUUAGGGAAGAACAAGUAACGCAGUAACUGGCGUUACCGUGGCGGUACCUAACGAGAAAGCCACGGCUAACUACGUG